ACGAACGCUGGCGGCGUGCCUAAUACAUGCAAGUCGAGCGAACAGAAGGGAGCUUGCUCCCGGAUGUUAGCGGCGGACGGGUGAGUAACACGUGGGUAACCUGCCUGUAAGACUGGGAUAACUCCGGGAAACCGGAGCUAAUACCGGAUAGUUCCUUGAACCGCAUGGUUCAAGGAUGAAAGACGGUUUCGGCUGUCACUUACAGAUGGACCCGCGGCGCAUUAGCUAGUUGGUGGGGUAAUGGCUCACCAAGGCGACGAUGCGUAGCCGACCUGAGAGGGUGAUCGGCCACACUGGGACUGAGACACGGCCCAGACUCCUACGGGAGGCAGCAGUAGGGAAUCUUCCGCAAUGGACGAAAGUCUGACGGAGC
rnacentral:rRNA from 1 species